rnacentral:rRNA from 1 species
UUAAGCGACUAAGCGUACACGGUGGAUGCCCUGGCAGUCAGAGGCGAUGAAGGACGUGCUAAUCUGCGAUAAGCGUCGGUAAGGUGAUAUGAACCGUUAUAACCGGCGAUUUCCGAAUGGGGAAACCCAGUGUGUUUCGACACACUAUCAUUAACUGAAUCCAUAGGUUAAUGAGGCGAACCGGGGGAACUGAAACAUCUAAGUACCCCGAGGAAAAGAAAUCAACCGAGAUUCCCCCAGUAGCGGCGAGCGAACGGGGAGCAGCCCAGAGCCUGAAUCAGUGUGUGUGUUAGUGGAAGCGUCUGGAAAGGCGCGCGAUACAGGGUGACAGCCCCGUACACAAAAAUGCACAUGCUGUGAGCUCGAUGAGUAGGGCGGGACACGUGGUAUCCUGUCUGAAUAUGGGGGGACCAUCCUCCAAGGCUAAAUACUCCUGACUGACCGAUAGUGAACCAGUACCGUGAGGGAAAGGCGAAAAGAACCCCGGCGAGGGGAGUGAAAAAGAACCUGAAACCGUGUACGUACAAGCAGUGGGAGCACGCUUAGGCGUGUGACUGCGUACCUUUUGUAUAAUGGGUCAGCGACUUAUAUUCUGUAGCAAGGUUAACCGAAUAGGGGAGCCGAAGGGAAACCGAGUCUUAACUGGGCGUUAAGUUGCAGGGUAUAGACCCGAAACCCGGUGAUCUAGCCAUGGGCAGGUUGAAGGUUGGGUAACACUAACUGGAGGACCGAACCGACUAAUGUUGAAAAAUUAGCGGAUGACUUGUGGCUGGGGGUGAAAGGCCAAUCAAACCGGGAGAUAGCUGGUUCUCCCCGAAAGCUAUUUAGGUAGCGCCUCGUGAAUUCAUCUCCGGGGGUAGAGCACUGUUUCGGCAAGGGGGUCAUCCCGACUUACCAACCCGAUGCAAACUGCGAAUACCGGAGAAUGUUAUCACGGGAGACACACGGCGGGUGCUAACGUCCGUCGUGAAGAGGGAAACAACCCAGACCGCCAGCUAAGGUCCCAAAGUCAUGGUUAAGUGGGAAACGAUGUGGGAAGGCCCAGACAGCCAGGAUGUUGGCUUAGAAGCAGCCAUCAUUUAAAGAAAGCGUAAUAGCUCACUGGUCGAGUCGGCCUGCGCGGAAGAUGUAACGGGGCUAAACCAUGCACCGAAGCUGCGGCAGCGACACUAUGUGUUGUUGGGUAGGGGAGCGUUCUGUAAGCCUGCGAAGGUGUGCUGUGAGGCAUGCUGGAGGUAUCAGAAGUGCGAAUGCUGACAUAAGUAACGAUAAAGCGGGUGAAAAGCCCGCUCGCCGGAAGACCAAGGGUUCCUGUCCAACGUUAAUCGGGGCAGGGUGAGUCGACCCCUAAGGCGAGGCCGAAAGGCGUAGUCGAUGGGAAACAGGUUAAUAUUCCUGUACUUGGUGUUACUGCGAAGGGGGGACGGAGAAGGCUAUGUUGGCCGGGCGACGGUUGUCCCGGUUUAAGCGUGUAGGCUGGUUUUCCAGGCAAAUCCGGAAAAUCAAGGCUGAGGCGUGAUGACGAGGCACUACGGUGCUGAAGCAACAAAUGCCCUGCUUCCAGGAAAAGCCUCUAAGCAUCAGGUAACAUCAAAUCGUACCCCAAACCGACACAGGUGGUCAGGUAGAGAAUACCAAGGCGCUUGAGAGAACUCGGGUGAAGGAACUAGGCAAAAUGGUGCCGUAACUUCGGGAGAAGGCACGCUGAUAUGUAGGUGAAGUCCCUCGCGGAUGGAGCUGAAAUCAGUCGAAGAUACCAGCUGGCUGCAACUGUUUAUUAAAAACACAGCACUGUGCAAACACGAAAGUGGACGUAUACGGUGUGACGCCUGCCCGGUGCCGGAAGGUUAAUUGAUGGGGUCAGCGCAAGCGAAGCUCUUGAUCGAAGCCCCGGUAAACGGCGGCCGUAACUAUAACGGUCCUAAGGUAGCGAAAUUCCUUGUCGGGUAAGUUCCGACCUGCACGAAUGGCGUAAUGAUGGCCAGGCUGUCUCCACCCGAGACUCAGUGAAAUUGAACUCGCUGUGAAGAUGCAGUGUACCCGCGGCAAGACGGAAAGACCCCGUGAACCUUUACUAUAGCUUGACACUGAACAUUGAGCCUUGAUGUGUAGGAUAGGUGGGAGGCUUUGAAGUGUGGACGCCAGUCUGCAUGGAGCCGACCUUGAAAUACCACCCUUUAAUGUUUGAUGUUCUAACGUUGACCCGUGAUCCGGGUUGCGGACAGUGUCUGGUGGGUAGUUUGACUGGGGCGGUCUCCUCCUAAAGAGUAACGGAGGAGCACGAAGGUUGGCUAAUCCUGGUCGGACAUCAGGAGGUUAGUGCAAUGGCAUAAGCCAGCUUGACUGCGAGCGUGACGGCGCGAGCAGGUGCGAAAGCAGGUCAUAGUGAUCCGGUGGUUCUGAAUGGAAGGGCCAUCGCUCAACGGAUAAAAGGUACUCCGGGGAUAACAGGCUGAUACCGCCCAAGAGUUCAUAUCGACGGCGGUGUUUGGCACCUCGAUGUCGGCUCAUCACAUCCUGGGGCUGAAGUAGGUCCCAAGGGUAUGGCUGUUCGCCAUUUAAAGUGGUACGCGAGCUGGGUUUAGAACGUCGUGAGACAGUUCGGUCCCUAUCUGCCGUGGGCGCUGGAGAACUGAGGGGGGCUGCUCCUAGUACGAGAGGACCGGAGUGGACGCAUCACUGGUGUUCGGGUUGUCAUGCCAAUGGCACUGCCCGGUAGCUAAAUGCGGAAGAGAUAAGUGCUGAAAGCAUCUAAGCACGAAACUUGCCCCGAGAUGAGUUCUCCCUGACUCCUUGAGAGUCCUGAAGGAACGUUGAAGACGACGACGUUGAUAGGCCGGGUGUGUAAGCGCAGCGAUGCGUUGAGCUAACCGGUACUAAUGAACCGUGAGGCUUAACCUU